rnacentral:rRNA from 1 species
AUUAGCUAGUUGGUAAGGUAAAGGCUUACCAAGGCAACGAUCUCUAGCUGUUCUGAGAGGAAGAUCAGCCACACUGGAACUGAGACACGGUCCAGACUCCUACGGGAGGCAGCAGUGGGGAAUAUUGCACAAUGGGGGAAACCCUGAUGCAGCCAUGCCGCGUGUGUGAAGAAGGCCUUCGGGUUGUAAAGCACUUUCAGUUGUGAGGAAAAGUUAGUAGUUAAUACCUGCUAGCCGUGACGUUAACAACAGAAGAAGCACCGGCUAACUCCGUGCCAGCAGCCGCGGUAAUACGGAGGGUGCGAGCGUUAAUCGGAAUUACUGGGCGUAAAGCGCACGCAGGCGGUUUGUUAAGCUAGAUGUGAAAGCCCCGGGCUCAACCUGGGAUGGUCAUUUAGAACUGGCAGACUAGAGUCUUGGAGAGGGGAGUGGAAUUCCAGGUGUAGCGGUGAAAUGCGUAGAUAUCUGGAGGAACAUCAGUGGCGAAGGCGACUCCCUGGCCAAAGACUGACGCUCAUGUGCGAAAGUGUGGGUAGCGAACAGGAUUAGAUACCCUGGUAGUCCACACCGUAAACGCUGUCUACUAGCUGUUUGUGACUUUAAGUCGUGAGUAGCGAAGCUAACGCGAUAAGUAGACCGCCUGGGGAGUACGGCCGCAAGGUUAAAACUCAAAUGAAUUGACGGGGGCCCGCACAAGCGGUGGAGCAUGUGGUUUAAUUCGAUGCAACGCGAAGAACCUUACCUACACUUGACAUGCAGAGAACUUUCCAGAGAUGGAUUGGUGCCUUCGGGAACUCUGACACAGGUGCUGCAUGGCUGUCGUCAGCUCGUGUCGUGAGAUGUUGGGUUAAGUCCCGCAACGAGCGCAACCCUUGUCCUUAGUUGCCAGCAUUCAGUUGGGCACUCUAAGGAGACUGCCGGUGACAAACCGGAGGAAGGUGGGGACGACGUCAAGUCAUCAUGGCCCUUACGUGUAGGGCUACACACGUGCUACAAUGGCAUUUACAGAGGGAAGCGAGACAGUGAUGUGGAGCGGACCCCUUAAAGAA